GAUGUGAGAUACAGUGUUAUGUAUCUGGAAUUGUUCAUUAGCUGUGUAAAGUUAUGUGUGAUAUCUUUAAAUGCUGAACUGACUCAAAGUAGUAAAACUGAUUUUAUUCGGAUCCAAAGACUCUUUCUGUGAGAUAAAGGACACUAAAAGAUUGUACCCUGUACACUAUCCAUUAUAUCCAAAGGGUAAUGAGUAAUUUUGUUAAAUAAUCGUGAUUUCAAUAUUGACUAAAAUAAUUGUGAUUAUUAUUUUUUCCAUAAUCG